rnacentral:rRNA from 1 species
AUGAAUUGGAUACUUCAAGAAGAUGAACAAGAUCAAGGAGAUGAAGAAGAUCAAGAAGAUGUAGCGGGUAAACAAAAAAGAAGAGAAUUGCCAGAUAAUGAGAGGCAUGGUGUUUACUUCGCCUUGCUAGUAAUCGAGCUCAGAGAUGGAUCUGUUCAACUAGAUGACAAGCUGCUAGUCUCAACCAAUGUGAACAUACAUGUACGAUCUGUUGAAAGAAUCUGGGUAGACGCCAAAAAGCAAAUUGCUGAGGGCCAAUAAGUAGAUGUCUCAAACAAGAAGAAAAGAAGAGCUGGCCGAAAGAGAAAAGAGUUGGAUCUUGCAAGGACCUCAACAAUCCCACUGAAUAUAAGAAGGAUAAUUCAAUCUUUGGCAUGGUGUCUGGGUGUGGCCCAAUCGACCCUACAUAAGAGGUUCCAGUUGAAUGAGCUCAACCGCAUCACAAGCACUAUGAAGCCUCACCUCAAGCUAGAGAACAUGAUUGUGAGAUUGAAAUUUUGCAUGUCCAUGCUCGAUGACAAUUGGAUCUCAACUUCCCAGGCUAUGUUCAAGCCAAUGACCAAUAUUGUGCACAUAGAUGAAAAGUGGUUUGACAUGACGAGAGUGAAGAAUAGUUACUAUGUACUUCCAAGAGAACCUGAACCCAAGCGCACCGUGUCAAACACUAACAGCAUUGGGAAUGUAAUGUUCCCAACUGUUGUGGCCAGGCCUCGAUAUAACAAUGAGGGGGGGCUAACAUUCGACAGAAAGAUCGACAUUUGGGCAUUCAUCCAAGAGGCUGAAGCGGUACGAACAAGUCAGAACAGAGCAAAGGGAACAAAAAUGCUGAAAUCAUUGAAAGUAACGAGGCCUGCGUGCAAAGAUUAUCUCAUCAAUAAGGUUAUCCCAUCAAUUCAAGAUAAGUGGCUUGACGAUGAUGAGGGAGUAACAAUAUUCAUCCAACGGGAUAACGCAAAGCCUCAUGUCCUUUAG